CCUCCCCACAAGCAUAGUGCAAGAAUGGCUGCCUCCAAAACCCUAAUGGAUUAUCUCCAACCCUCCAAGCGCCUAAAAGUCUCCACCCCCACCACCACCACCUCCUCCUCCUCCCCCAAAAGCCUACUCCUCCCUGUUUCUUCUCUUUCCCAUUCCCAAUCCCAAGACCCCCACCAAAGCCCUCCUUCCUCUCCCUCCUCCACCCUCACCGCCCACCAAAAAUCCCGGAUCGAAUUCAACAAAUUCCUUGCAAAAUCCAAGAGAAAUCUCACCAUCUGCUCCCAGAAAGUCUCCAAAUCUAAAGCUGAAGGGGUUGGUUUUGUGGAAUUGGAGGACCUCUUGGUGGAAGAGACGUGGUUGGAUGCGCUUCCUGGGGAGUUUCAGAAGCCCUAUGCCAAGACGCUCUGCAGAUUUUUGGAACGGGAGGUGUGCGGCAGUGGCGUGCCCAUUUAUCCUCCACAGCACUUGAUCUUCAAUGCUCUUAACUCCACGCCAUUCGACAGAGUCAAGGCUGUGAUUAUUGGACAGGAUCCAUAUCAUGGCCCUGGUCAAGCAAUGGGCCUUUCAUUUUCUGUGCCAGAGGGGGUGAAAGUUCCUUCAAGUCUGGUAAAUAUAUUUAAGGAACUACAGCAAGAUUUAGGCUGUUCAAUUCCAUCUCAUGGGAAUUUGGAGAAAUGGGCUGUACAGGGUGUUCUGUUGCUCAAUGCUGUUCUUACUGUUAGGAGUCAUCAAGCUAAUUCUCAUGCAAAGAAAGGAUGGGAGCAAUUUACUGAUUCUGUCAUUAGAACAAUCUCACAAAAGCAAAGAGGAGUUGUUUUCCUUCUAUGGGGAAACUCUGCUCAAGAGAAAUCCAGGUUGAUUGAUGACACGAAGCACCACAUACUCAAAGCUGCACAUCCUUCUGGUUUAUCUGCAAACAGAGGUUUCUUUGGAUGCAGGCAUUUUUCUCGCACAAACAAGAUUCUGGAGCAAAAGGAAGUACCCCCCAUUGAUUGGCAACUUUGAGUCCCGCUUUGUGGAAGUCAUUUUGUUGGUGGUGGGCAAUCAAAGCAGCCCUCUGUGAAGCACUUUUGGUUGUGUUUAGAAAGCUUCUGCGUGGAGGCUUUUUGUUAUUAACCUCCUACUACAAUACUGAAAGGUAUAGUUUGAUCACUAUCGAAAAGGUGCUAUGAAAAGUUGCUAUCAAUCAGAUAAAUGUUAUGUGCACGUCUUCAGAUUUCAUGGACUCUCAUUCAUUCUCAUUCCUGUUAUUGUGUCUUGGUUUGGUUUCAUUUCUUUGUAUCAUAUGAUGACGUGACGGUUGAGAAGGACGUGUAUCUUGGUCUCAGUCACGUGAAUUCAUCAUUUUCCUUCAAAGGUUCCAAUUACAAUUA